AAAUUGAAGAGUUUGAUCAUGGCUCAGAUUGAACGCUGGCGGCAGGCCUAACACAUGCAAGUCGAACGGUAACAGGAAGCAGCUUGCUGCUUCGCUGACGAGUGGCGGACGGGUGAGUAAUGUCUGGGAAACUGCCUGAUGGAGGGGGGAUAACUACUGGAAACGGUGGCUAAUACCGCAUAACGUCGCAAGACCAAAGAGGGGGACCUUCGGGCCUCUUGCCAUCAGAUGUGCCCAGAUGGGAUUAGCUAGUUGGUGAGGUAACGGCUCACCAAGGCGACGAUCCCUAGCUGGUCUGAGAGGAUGACCAGCCACACUGGAACUGAGACACGGUCCAGACUCCUACGGGAGGCAGCAGUGGGGAAUAUUGCACAAUGGGCGCAAGCCUGAUGCAGCCAUGCCGCGUGUAUGAAGAAGGCCUUCGGGUUGUAAAGUACUUUCAGCGGGGAGGAAGGUGUUGUGGUUAAUAACC
rnacentral:rRNA from 1 species